UGUUUACAUGACACGACACGAGUUUUCUUUAACAAAUGUCACUUCCUCUCCACUCCCUUCUCCUUCAGAAACCUCUUUGAAAUCGACAUAUUUGCCUAAGCUUUUAGUUGCACUUCCUUAUAUUGCCUGCGACAUAAAAUCCACGUCUGUCCGAUCAAGCCUCUGCCAGCAUCUUGGAAGGAACUGACUUCAUAGUUUCAUCAAAGGAACCCCACCUCUAUUGCGACAUUGGAAUCUUUCGUAUAUUAUUUAGUCAAAGUACUUGGAAUUCAGUCAGAUCCAGUCUACCAAGCUUCAGACCAACAUGGUCAGCUGCAGGGAGAUUUCCUGGUCGCUUUUCUGGCUCGUUGUGUUGCUCUUCAUUGGCUGGCCGCUCAGCAUAUUCUUUGGGGGCUUCUAUGGGUUUUUCUCACCACUGACUACAUGCAUUGGACUGGACCAGGUCACGGAUAUACUUCUAAAAGGUGCAAACGUGGGCAAAUCCUGUGCUGAGAAUAUGAGAUCAAGCAAAGCUCUCUGCUGAAAAGUGUUCAGUGAAAAAGAUAUUUCACCUCAACUGUGAUCUGUCCACAUCAUCUCCCAGAUUACUGUGGAUCACACAAUUCAAAAUGCAGUCACAGAACUCUCCCUUGUGCUUCUGAUCUCAACAAAGGGGUGUAGGUUUUUCCUUAUUUCUUAUAUGGCAUUUUAAGCAGAAUAAAAUCUAUUCUAAAUUACUUCUGAUUAAUAUUCUAAUAAAUGGCCAUCCUUUCAAAUAUACCAAAUGGUGCCUUCAAUGGUUCUCAAAAUCCUAAUUUAUGAAAAAAAAAACUAUCUUAUUGUUUCCAUGAAAUCUUAAUAUAAUUAAGAUCUUUAAAAGGUUUCAUUUGCUCCAGAUCCAACAGGAGGAAUAACUGGGCGAUUAUGGCCAAAGGUGAUGUCUCAUCAGAAAACAGAUAAUAUCAUCCGAGGAAGAUCAUGAAUUAAAGUAUGACAUAAUAUAUCUUACUCCAAUACAGUAUUAUUAAAGCACUCUUAAGUACGUUAUUUUCUAAAUAAAUAGUGGUUUUCAAUGUUAGCAGAAUUUUCCCCCUUCUGACAGAGGUUAUGGCUUUUAUUAUAUUGGGCAGUGCAAUAUCAGACAUUAGCCCCACAGCACUUUAAUUUAGGGAGGGGAUUCCCAGCCAGUUCUACCCAGGUACAAAUCUCUUUCUGCCUACUACCUCACAGAUCCUACAUGGGAAGUGAACUCAGGCCAUUGGAAUGCAGUUCUUAUGGCUUAUAAAUCUUCAAGAUCAAACUAUGUGAAAGUUCACUGAAAUGUCACUGUCAUUUUGAGAAGGUACAUUGUCUUUUAUUCUAUUGAUGCAGAGGGUAGAAAUAGGAGCAAAUUGUACAGAAUAAAGUUAUUUUAUACCAAGAAUGAUCAAGCCUUUCAAACAGUUUGCACACCUACAUACAGCAGAGUCUCUGCGGUCAAUCUAAGCCUAGGGAUUCUGAAGAAUGGUUAAAUUUUUCCUCUUUUUAUUAGUGUUUGAAAAAUAGUUCAAUCUUGGAGUGUAGUUGUGAUGCAUUCCACAUUGAAUUGCACAAUAUCUGGAAGUGCAAACCAAUUCCUGCCAAGAGUCAAGUUAAUGUGAUCAUGUAAUUUGCAUCAAUGUAAUUAAUUAGCACUGAUAAUAUGAUCUUUGCCUCCACUUAAACUAACUCACACUGUUCUGAUGCAUCCUGUCAGUGGACACUCACAGAGCAAACUUGUCUCUGGGCAGGACUCAGCCCAGGAGUGGAAACACCCUUAGGGAGCCUUCCUUACUCACUUCCUCUCCUUCAGGCUCCCCAUCAAUCAGCCUCACCCCUGACUCCAAUAAUCUCCUCUCCGUCCCAAUCCCACCCCCCACCCUGAUUCUGGCUCCACCUGUUGCACAUUCCACGACAGCUCCUGACUGAGGUAUCAGCUUGAUCCCCAUCCUUAACCUCUGCUGGAAGCUCAGCCCAGUUACUGCCUCUCAUCUGACAUAAUCUCUCAAUCCUACUCUGAUCCCAGACUUGCCAGGUGAGCACCUUACAAUAGCAUAGUCUACCUUCUGCAUCAGCUUUGCACAUUUAAAUAAGAGGCUUUGUUACUAAUGGUGCAUUGAAUUGAAGUGAGUUUUGAAUGUCUAACAGAUCACUAGAGUAUAGAACGGUCCAUUGAACUGGAGAAAGUUUUACAUGGUGUGUUUAUUUAAAAAGGGAAACAUCAAACAUUAAGUUAUGGGCAAUUUAUCAGAAAAAAAAGCAAUAAACGGACAAUAAGUUGCCAUCUUAACAGAGGAAAGAUUAUAAAUGAGUUUCAAUCUGACUUUUGGAACAAAAUAUCCUGUCUGUUGAACCUUGUCAAACCUUGUGAAAGUAUUAAUCAGUGGUCAGAAGCAUAGGCAGUGUCUUGAUUUACAAGACAACUAACAAGGUUUCUCACAAAACCUGUCCCAAAUACACACAUCUAUUGGGUGCAGAUUUUGAGUUGGGCUAGGAACUGAUCUUAUAUGGUAUUAAUUCCUUUCCUGGGGUCUUCAUCAGGUAAAACCUGACCAUCUUUAUCGUAGAUCUUGGAUGAAAGUGUUAAAAAAUUCAAUUCAAGUUCAGAGACAACAAUCAGAUAUGUCGGCAUCUAAGGCCCUUAAAUGAAAUCAAAUAUUGGAGAAAUAUCUAAGUGAAAUGAGUGAACUGGAUGCAAGUCUGUCUUUUAAUUGGUAUCAUUUUAAUUAGUACGAUUGGAAGUAUCCACUGGACACUGCCUCAAGAAGGAAACAUUUGUCAUCAAAGACCCUAACUAUCUGGGUCAAACCAUCCUUUCAUAACUAACAUCAGGCAAGGCAUUUGGGUAGAUAUGUACUUGUGCAAGUGACAGUAAACUUGACUUUCAUGUAUGCAAAUUUAUUCCUAACAAACUUCAUAACUGCAUCUUACUGUAGGUAAUUACCAUGCUUAAAACUGUUGAGUAGAAGAACACCAUUUUGACACCACUCAUGAAUUAGCAAAAGCUCUUGAUUAAGUGCUAUAACACCUCUGUCAGGAUGUCUUCGUUGAAUAUAGCUCAGCAUUUAACACCAUCACUCCCACAGUUCUGAUUGAUAAGCUACAGAACCUGGGCCUCUGUACCUCCCUCUGAAAUUGUAUCCUCGAUUUUCUAACCAAAAGACCACAAUCUGUGCAGAUUGGUGAUAAUAUCUCCUCCUUGCUGACAACACUGGCUACCUCAGGGGUGUCUGCUAAGCUCACUGUUCUACUCCCUCUAUACCCAUGACUGUGUGGCUAGGUAUGGUUCAAAUAGCAGCUAUAAAUUUGCUGAUACAACAGUUGUUGGUAGAAUCACAGAUGGAGAUGAGAGGGUGUACAGGAGUGAGGUAUACUAGCUAGCUGAGUGGUGUCACAGCAACAAUCUGGCACUCAACGUCAGUAAGACGAACGAGCUGAUUGAGGACUUCAGGAAGGGUAAGACGAAGGAACACAUACCAAUCCUCAUAGAGGGAUCAGAAGUGGAGAAAGUUCGCAAUUUCAAGCUCAUGGGCGUCAAGAUAUCUGAGGAUCCAACCUGGUCCCAACAUACUGAUGCAGCUAUAAAGAAGGCAAGACAGCAGCAGCAGCAGCUAUAUUUUAUUAGGAGUUUGAAGAAAUUUGGUUUGUCAAUUGAAACACUUGAAAAUUUCUAUAGAUGCACCAUGAAGAACUUUCUGACUGACAGGCUGCAUCACUGUCUGAUAUGGGGCGGUGGGGGUGGUACUGCACAGCACUGAAAGAAGCUAUGAAAUUUGUAAAAUUAGUCAGCUCCACCUUGUGUACUAACCUCUGUAGUAUCCAAGAUAUCUUCAAGGAGUAGUGUCUCAGAAAGAUGGCAUCAAUUAUUAAAGACCCCCAUUCCCUAGAACAUGCCCUCUUCUUAUUGUUACCAUAUGGUAGGAGGUAUAGAAGCCUGAAGGUACACACUCAGUGUUUCAGGAACAGCCUCUUCCCCUCUGCCAUUUGAUUCUUAAAUGGACAUUUAACCCAUGAACACUACCUCACUUUUUAAAAAUAUAUAUUAUUUCUGAUUUUGCACUUUUUGAUCUAUUCAAUGUACAUAUAUAAUUACUGUAAUUGGUUUACUUAUUAUUAUAUUUUCUUUCUAUAUUAUCAUGUAUUGCAUUGUACUGCUGCUGCUAAGUUAACAGAUUUCACGACACA